UGAGAUGGUUUCAGCAGGUAGAGCAUGAGACUCUUAAAUCUCAGGGUUGUGGGUUUGAGUCCCACAUUGGGCAAAA